AUUUGAAAAAGGUGCGGUAUGUGCCCGUUUUCCGCCGUUAAAUGAUGCAUGCAGCCUAAUUUUGGAUCGAGAAUUAAGUGCGACGAAGAUGGCCGUAAUAGUUCUACUACUUUAAGAACACGGGUCAGAUUUGGACAACGACUUCGAAGGCAUUCGCAGUAGACCAAACAGAGAAAGAGAGGGAGACACAUAACCACCUGUCUCGGUGUCACACAUGAGGAGUUGAGGAGGAAAUGAAGUCGGUGAAUAUGACCUGGCCUGGGGGAGUUUCCAGAAGAAGGCCCAGAAUCGCCGGAUGCCAGGAGUGGAGAUCCUUCGUUGCUGCCCUACAUGCUAGGAGGCAUCGGGCAGUAGAUGCUGUACUUUGAAACGGAAGGUGUCCUGCCAAUAAAUUUUCAUCCCAUCUGAAGUGCCUUGCCUGCCUGCACCCAGUCAUCUGUUCCUGAGCAUUUUCAUUCUAUUUUUCAUCAUCGUUCUUUUCGGCCUGUAUGAAGUGAAUUUCACAUUGACUGGUGGAGCUGCUAAGUUGGCAUUACAGGGCCACGCCGGGGUAUGAUCCUUGGGGUUGAACAUCAUGACUGCUAGUUGGUCGGUGAAGGUGAUGGGAUGGAUCAAUGUCACAUGGAGUAAGAUCGAUACCAAUCUGCUUUGCUACAUUUCGUACAUCUCAUACGGAUACGGAUAUUAUUGCGACAGGAGUACUGUUCGAUGUGGUCAAGCCUAUUUGACAAAGCAUUAUGGUGUUAGUCAUGUUAUCAGAAACCGAUUUUUCAAAAUCAUGAAGUUGCUUCAAUUUAGUAUCGAUAGAUAUUUCAAGAGCGUGUAGACGAGUGAGCUUUUCAUCAAGAAUUUCACGCAAUUUAUUUUCGCGCUUAUCCAUAUCAUCAUUGAGUUUUUGUCUAUCGCGUUCCAUUGACACGGCCACCGCUCUUUGAACGACUGUAUCAAUAUGAUCUAGGUAUGCUGGGCUUUGUUUAGAUCCAGUUAAUGAUGAAACAGAGGAUUGUGUACAUGCGUUAGCCGAGUGCAAGCGGCCUCUUGAUCUGGUGGAUAUCUUAGACAUGUUGUUAGAGAUUACGUAAUGAUAUAAUCGAAAAGUGGGAUAGGCUGUGCAUCUGCCAACUCACCAGUCAACCAAUUAGAGACGGCCUUCGAAAGUGACACAGCACGAAAAUAUCAAUAUGGGACUGGUCUAGUCAACACAUAGAUCCUGAAAAAAACCAUGGAGACCGCAGACGCAAAAUGACUUCCAUACAUAAAGAUAUGAUGCACAAUUUCCAGUGGGUUCAAAACACUGAACACAUGCUAUGCUGAUACACAGACUAUUUUAAGAACUUUAUCAAGCAUAGGAAAUCUGGUAUGAAAUCUCUCAGCUCACAUAAAAAGCCUACGUAGCUACAUGUAGGGAAGAAAAUGUGUAAUUGCUGAGAAAUGAGCAAAAUAAGCAUGUAAUUCUAUCAAAUGUCAGGUAUUUUUCGAAUCGAUUAUAAUACACUGUCCCACAUAUGCUUUUCUGUGUUUAGAGCGAUCAUCAGAAUUAUCGAUUUUAAGUUAAAAAAUUCAUGAUUUUACAAAGAUACAAGUUUACAUUAAUGAACCAAAUGUAGAUAAUGUACAAUAUAUUGACAAUUAACUUUGAUUUUAUAGAUUUUCUCAAGAAAUAAUUGUUUGCUGCAACUACUGUCUUUUCCUUCUAUGUGAUAGUGUAAUACAACAGUUCCACAAAUUAUUUUCAUCAGACUUAUUAAUGUAUGAUUCUUUCACCCAAAUGCAAGCUUCCAUAAAUCUUGAAAACUUUGCAACUCAGGUUUUUUUUUUU